rnacentral:rRNA from 1 species
UACGGAGGGGACUAGCGUUGUUCGGAAUUACUGGGCGUAAAGCGCACGUAGGCGGAUUUGUAAGUCAGGGGGUGAAAUCCCGAGGCUCAACCUCGGAACUGCCUUUGAUACUGCAAAUCUCGAGUCCGGAAGAGGUGAGUGGAAUUCCUAGUGUAGAGGUGAAAUUCGUAGAUAUUAGGAAGAACACCAGUGGCGAAGGCGGCUCACUGGUCCGGUACUGACGCUGAGGUGCGAAAGCGUGGGGAGCAAACAGGG